ACCUGGCCAAUUUGAUCUAAUUAAGUUUCGAACUUAGAUUGAUUAAUGAUGUAGACACUACAAAGGUCUUCCUUCAUGCUUUGUCAAUAGAGUAUGUUAAGAUCUUAGUGAGCUUGUUGUGCUAUUCACAAGGCUUACUAUAGAAAUUAAUAUAAUAUCGAUUAAGUGCAUACUGAUGCUUGUGGCAUAUUUGAAUAGUAUUGUCU
rnacentral:lncRNA from 1 species